AUCAUAGCAAAGAAUGUGACACAAAGGUUAACCCACGGACGGAAGAGCUCCAGACUGAAUGGAUGAUGUUAUGUUUAGUGAUAACUGAAUGGUUAUAUGAUAGUCACGUUGCAGAACUAUUAGCAUUAAAUCAACGUCAUCCUGUUUUCAAAUUGAAGGGAUAUCUACGCGUAAAUAGAUCGUAGAGUUCUUGAUUAAAACGACCUACGGGGUAGAAUUGCUUCAAUCUUCUUUUCUAAGCUGUAAGCAUUGCCAGAAUACGCGAGAGGCUGUUAAACUCGACGACAUCACUCUCGCAUUAAUCCCAAUGGAGAGAACCGAACGGGGAAAGCCGUUUGAUCUUUACGAACCAGCCGACGUCAUGUACGAACCCCACUUGGUUGCUCCGCCCCAGGAACGGCCGCGCAGCACUCGGUCCCACUCACUCAAGUCGAUGAGUCAACCUAACCUUCUUACACCACGUACUAAACGACUCUACAGUCUCCCCUCCAGACCUGUUAUUCCACCUCACAUUACCAUACAAGGCUGCCAUGACAACAAGGACAGUCAUAGCGAAGAAGAAGAGCCAAGUUGUGAGUGCAGUAAUGACAGCAUGGCAUGGUACACGCCAGUUGUUGGAUUAUCCUGCAGUCUUGUGAUAUAUGCCUGGUCAUGCGCACUCGCCUAUUACUCUACAACGUGACGUUCUGGAUCAGGAAAGAGAGAGGGGAAUGCAGUGUGAUGUGAAAGCGCAGAUUUGGUACGGAUGCCAGAAAUAAACCCGAGUAGAUGAAAAAUGGUUUAUCAGGAAAUGGAGUCGUGCCGAAAUCGAAAUUCAUUGACGCAAACCUUCACUGCACUCAGGAGUGAAAAUAGAUCACUAAACGAGAGAUAAAAGAUAUGAACCUAGCUACCGAGAAAAAUGAAAAGAAUUACAUGUUCUUGAUAUUAUUAGUAGGCAUAAGGUUGUAAUAAGUCAUUGGCAAAGUGCAAAAGCUCCGAGCAAUAUUAAACAUGAGAUUUCUGUAACACUUCUACUGUUUUUUGCUUCACAUAUAGAAUGUUUAUUGGAACUUACCAGCACUUUACACACAGCGACUAAGUGUGACGUGGACUUCUUUGCAUGAAGACCUGUUUACUGAGGAGUUUUGACAGUAGACAUAAUAAAGUUGACAUGAUAAUUUC